rnacentral:rRNA from 1 species
AGACCUACGGGACGCAGCAGUCGGGAAUAUUGCGCAAUGGAGGAAACUCUGACGCAGUGACGCCGCGUAUAGGACGAAGGUCUUCGGAUUGUAAACUAUUGUCGUUAGGGAAGAGAAAGGACAGUACCCAAGGAGGAAGCUCCGGCUAACUACGUGCCAGCAGCCGCGGUAAUACGUAGGGCGCCAGCGUUAUCCGGAUUUAUUGGGUGUAAAGGGUUCGUAGACGGGAAAUUAAGUUAGUUGUGAAAUC